rnacentral:rRNA from 1 species
UGUUGUUUUCUCGAAAAUCAAUUAAAAAUGGCUUGAUUUUGUGUUGUAUUGACCUUAAAAGCUUUCUUCACUUUUUUCAUGUCUUUUUUAAUGCACCUUUCGUUUAACAAGUCAACAUCAGUUUCUUUUGUUGUAAAAAGGUCAUUGGAAGGUGGCUUUCUUUUCGGAGAAAGUGUUUAUAGCCUUUGACUUCUGCAAUCGGAGAGACUGAGGUCUGCAGUGUAGAUCCUUCUGGAUUAGAUUCAUUUGUGCUAAGUUACAACCGUUUAUAGACAACUUGUUGACUAUAUUCGAUCCUGUAGCUUACUCGCUUAUGUAAUUUUACCUAC